rnacentral:rRNA from 1 species
AUGGCCACGUCGUUCGACCGCUGGGAGAAGGACCCCUUCUUCCUCGCCGCCGAGGAGGUCCAGGAGUCCGCCGAUCGGAUGGAAUCGGUGUAUAAGAUAUGGGUGCAGGAGAGGAGCGGCGGCGGCUCGGCCCUCGGCGGGGAGGUCGGCGCCGCCGAGCUGCGCCGCGAGCUGCACACCGCGCUCGGCACCGCCAAGUGGCAGCUUGAUGAAUUGGAGCGAGCAAUUAGAUCAAACGACGAGGUUGUCUCGGCAGGAAAGGAUACGAGAGCACUGCAUAGCAACUUUGUUGCGGCGAUUGGCUAUCGCAUAUUAGAGGUUGAGAACAACCUGAAUGCAUCCAAUGUCGCCGAGGGGAGGGGCACACUGAGCUGGAUUCAUUUGGACGAGAGUGAGCGGGACGACCUUGCGGCUUUCUUAUCUGCAACCCCUCCUCAACAUCAAGAUAAAGUUGUUACAAUCCCAUCUGCUGGCGAUAUUCAAGUGGGCAGCAACCCGACAAGGGUGAGGAAAAAUAUUUCAGCUGACAGCUCCAAUGAUUCAUCUGGCUCUGCAGACUUGAGUUCAGCGAGAGCAAAGGAAGAUGCACAUCGUGGGCACAGGAGGUCAGUCAGUGCCAGUGCUGAUAUUGGAUCGUCGCCUAUGUCAUUUCCAAAUGAACGAGAGGGUGCUGCUGAACAAUCAUCUCUUGGCCCACACAGAGCACCUUUGCUGAAUAUUGUCAAAGCGUGCGGAUUGCCGAGUGCCUUGAAACCUAAGCCUGCAGUUAAGUACAAAAAAGGAGCUGUGAGGUGGGCACAUGCAGACAAACAGGAUCUUGAAGCGGCAAUCCCUCUCACAAAUCCUCAGUUGGGUCAGGGCUUAGAUGGAUACUCUGAAAGAAGCAUCGGUUACUUAAAUACUUGCGAUGGGGUUACAUACAAUAAGAAACUCUAUGGUUGGCUUGGAGCACUGCGUAAGAAACUUCAGAGAUCACAAUAUCAAAUUCGAUAUGGGCGGCCUGCUCAAUUGAUUGUAUUUGCACUUGCUGUUCUCAUAAUAUUUGUGUUUGUAUUCAAGACAAUAUGGUGA